GCGCCUAUAGCUCAGCUGGUAGAGCAGUUGCCUCUUAAGCAAACGGUCCCAGGUUCGAGUCCUGGUGGGCGCA
rnacentral:tRNA from 1 species